rnacentral:tRNA from 3 species
GGAGGCGUAGUCUAAUUGGUAAGGCACCGCACUCGAAAUGCGGCGGGCGCAAGCCUUUGGGGGUUCGAGUCCCUCCGCCUCCG